rnacentral:rRNA from 1 species
CCUACGGGAGGCAGCAGUGAGGAAUAUUGGUCAAUGGACGAGAGUCUGAACCAGCAAAGCAGCGUGAAGGAUGACUGCCCUCUGGGUUGUAAACUUCUUUUAUAUGGGAAUAAAAUGUUCCACGUGUGGGAUUUUGUAUGUACCAUAUGAAUAAGGAUCGGCAAACUCCGUGCCAGCAGACGCGGUAAUACGGGGGAUGCGGGCUUUAUCCGGAUUUAUUGGGUUAAAGGGGUGCGUAGGCGGGCUUUUAAGUCAGCGGUAAAGAUUCGGGGCUCAACCCCGCCCGGCCGUUGAAACUGGGGGCCUUGAGUGGGCGAGAAGAAGGCGGAAUGCGUGGUGUAGCGGUGAAAUGCAUAGAUAUCACGCAGAACCCCGAUUGCGAAGGCAGCCUUCCGGCGCCCUACUGACGCUGAGGCACGAAAGUGCGGGGAGCGAACAGGAUUAGAUACCCGAGUAGUC